UUGCUACAAUGGGGGAAACCCUGAUGCAGCCAUGCCGCGUGUGUGAAGAAGGCCUUCGGGUUGUAAAGCACUUUCAGUAGGGAGGAAGGUAGUGUAGUUAACACCUGCUAUUACUUUGACGUUACCUACAGAAGAAGCACCGGCUAACUCCGUGCCAGCAGCCGCGGUAAUACGGAGGGUGCGAGCGUUAAUCGGAAUUACUGGGCGUAAAGCGCAUGCAGGCGGCCUGUUAAGUCAGAUGUGAAAGCCCGGGGCUUAACCUCGGAAUUGCAUUUGAAACUGGCAGGCUAGAGUCUUGUAGAGGGGGUAGAAUUUCAGGUGUAGCGGUGAAAUGCGUAGAGAUCUGAAGGAAUACCAGUGGCGAAGGCGGCCCCCUGGACAAAGACUGACGCUCAGAUGCGAAAGCGUGGGGAGCAAACAGGAUUAGAUACCCUGGUAG
rnacentral:rRNA from 1 species